AAGUGGAGCAAUCCAUGAGUAAAGUGGCGACCGGGUGAGUAACACGUGACUACCUGCCCUCGAGUGGGGAAUAACUCCGGGAAACCGGGGCUAAUACCGCAUAACAUCGCAAGAUCAAAGCAGUGAUGCGCUUGAGGAGGGGGUCGCGGCUGAUUAGCUAGUUGGUAGGGUAAUGGCCUACCAAGGCGAAGAUCGGUAUCCGGCCUGAGAGGGCGCACGGACACACUGGAACUGAAACACGGUCCAGACUCCUACGGGAGGCAGCAGUGGGGAAUUUUGCGCAAUGGGGGAAACCCUGACGCAGCAACGCCGCGUGGAGGAUGAAGGCCCUUGGG
rnacentral:rRNA from 1 species